rnacentral:lncRNA from 1 species
CUGAGGGCCGGCUCGCGGCGCCCCCUGGCGGCCGGGCCCCGCGGCGCAGCGCCGUCAGAACGGGCGGGUCGCGGAAAUAGAGCGGACUUGGAGGGGGCAGGGAAACCUUUAAAUCAGGCGGUGGCGGUGGCUGCGCAGCUCUGGGUACAACUCCGUGAACUGCGCGCUUCAAAGGGCGGAAUUGCAAAUUACGUCUCAAUAAAGCGGCUAAGAACAAAAGAACCAGCAACCGACAAUUCUGCGGGCGCGGGCUCCCAGCGCUUCCAUUGUUGCCCUGGCCGACAGGGGGCCCAGCCGCCGGGACCACCGCCUCACGGGUGACCGGCAGGUGGGCCUUGUAGGGUUAACCCGGGCGGCGGGGGCGGGGCCUGGGCGGGGCCUGAAGGCGGUCCGGUGACGCGCUCAAAGCAGCACCCAAUCAAGGCCGUUAUGGCCGCCGGCUCCGCCCCUCCACCCCCGCCCCCGCGGGCUUCGUACCGCCCCUUCCCGCCAGGCCGCGCCCACCGCGGUGCCCGCCCCGGACGCGUGCGCAGAGCGCGCUUUCCCUCCCGCGGGAUGUGGACUCUCGGUCGGGCUUCCGGGUCCUCUCCUGGCUCUUCCGCGGUCGUUGUGUGGGCCGCGCCGGGCGCUGCGCCUCGUUAGGCUCCGGGUUCCUCCUCCGGGCAGUGGGACCACACGGCGCGUCCCCGGGGCUUCCGACGGGCUGGCUGCCCUGCCCGCCGUCUGUCCGGCCAGCCCCGCACGCGCGCUCGGGCUUCCUAGUGCGCAGCUGGAGCCACGCGGGUGCGCGCCGCCCCUUGGCCGGUGCAGGCUCUGGUCAGCCUCACCCCCUGGGACGACACUCAGAGCGGGGUCAGCUGGCGGGGCCUGAGUCUCCGCUUCCCAUCUGUGAAGGGGGCUGUCCCCACAAUGCCACGGGGGAGAGGUGGCUUAGAGAGGAUUCCGCGAUGGCCCAGGGCCACCAGCAGUCAUGUGGAUUCGAGAUCUGGCUGGACGUGCUGAUUCCGGCGGCCAGUGCGCCUGUCCUCUGCCCUGCCCCGCUGGUGGCACUUGUCUCAGCUGGUUGCUGCAAGGCAGGCAUGAAGCUCGGCUCGAAGCCACUUAACACAGCAGCAGAUCCUGGAAUGUGUAUCUGGGGAUCAGACUCGACACAGGGAGGUAGGUUGAAUGAUUUGGGCAAGAAGAAACCGCCUUCUCCAUGUCUUUCUUUCUUGAAACCUCCUGGAGCUGCCCCCUUCUCUGCUCCACCGGCAUGUGCGGAACAAACCCCACCUGUGGGUUCCAUGCUCGGCGUCAGGAGGGAGCUGAACGCUGUGCUCACCUGCCAGGACUUUGCCAAAUACCCACUUUGGCUCAUGUCCCUCUUUUUAUGCAGAUGUGAGCACAGCUGGAGCCAGACUUCGGCAGGAUUAAGGAAUCUGGAACAAAGAGGAGCCUGGGCUUCCGAAAGGGCGUGCCGGUCACCACUGUGA